rnacentral:tRNA from 1 species
GCUUUGACAACCGAAUGGUGUAGUGGUUAGUGACUGCUAUGCCGAAGGUCCCGGGUUCGAUUCCCGGCUAGAGCA